rnacentral:snRNA from 1 species
GUUCUCGCUUUGGCAGCACAUAUAAUAAAAUUGAAGCAAUGCAGAAGAUUAGCAUGGCCCAUGUACAGAGAUAGUAUGCAAAUUCUUGAAACAUUCCAUGUUUUU